UGCUGGGCCCUGUGCCAGGCAUGGAGGAGACAAACAAGUACAAAGAAUGAUCAAUCCUUGCUUGUAAGAAGCUUAGGUCUGGUGAGUUUUGCUUCCUCAUUGCCCCAAGGAAGGCAGUUCAGCCCAGUGGUACAAUCCGAAAGCAGAGUGGAUUAUCUCCCCCUGGAAAUAUGUGAGAGCUGGUUGUAAAGUCGGGAAGAUCCAGGUUCCAAUCCAAUUCUGCCUCUGACACUAGCUGUGUGAUCCUGGAGCUUGACUGUGGGGGAGCCUGGACAGCUUCGCUAGGCUUUUUGGUCUUCCUUGGAUUCCUAGAGGCCAGUACCUGGAGUACUACAACAUGUUUCAGAUCUUGGUUUUAUCUCUUCCUACCACUGUGAUGUUGGAGGGAAUGGAUUCCGACCCUUGUGGAGCAAUGACAGCUAUGAUUACUGCCAGACCUUGGAGGCUUCCUGGCCCAUCUCCACUCUGGCUCCGCCUAGAUUCUAUGGACAGAGCUGAAGGCCAUCUUGUUCUUGUCACUCCAUUGCCGGUCUUUUUAGGGAAGAUUAAACAUCAUUGUCUUGUCUGAUGGCAUCUGAUGCACCGCACUGGCUUUGAUGAGAGCAUUUCUGCUUUUCGUUUCUGGGAGCAGCAAAGCUCCUCUUUAUUGUUGCUGGUAUUUCCUUCUCUGGGAGAAUACUCCCCCAGGGUUCAGAUGGGAAGCAGCAGCAGCUGCCCACUCAGUGGCUUCCCAUGUCCUGCCACAUAUAGAUGGGAAGAAGGGGGUCUUCGGAAGCCCCACCAUGGGCUUUCUUCUGACCAGGCUAGGGGGUACAAUCUAUCCAAGACUGAGGUCAGUCUGAAUAAGUGAGGGCAAAGCCUGCUGGAACGUGGCAUCAAUGCAGCAAAGAUUUGGCACACCCAAGAUCCCUGUCCUAGUCCUGGCACCAAGACCCCACUUUUAAUCCUCCCAGAUACUUAUCUGACACAUAAUUAUAUGCCAGCUAAUCUCUGCUAUGUUGCACAAAGAAUUCCUACUAAGAAGGACGUUGCCAGGCCUGUAAUCCCCUCUCUUGGGAAGGCUGAACUCAGGAGCUCUGAACUGCAGGAGACUAAAUUACUUUAGUGCCCAUGCUAACUGUGGCACCAAUAUGGUGAGCCCCGUGAGUGGGGGGUCACCAGUCUGCCUGAGGAGGGGCAAAUCGACCCAGGUCAGAAACAGAGCAGG